CCCUUGUCACUUACAAGAAAUUUUUUACUAUAAUCACACAAGAUUACAAUUGCUUAAGCACACAAGAAAGACACUUCUAACAAAUGUUUGGUUGAACACUUGAUAUACGGUCAGAGGUGUUCAGAAAUACAAAACAGUUCAGACUCUAAACUAAAGAAUUUCUAAGAUAUAAAAGUUUAUAAGAAAUUCUAAGUGUUUAAUGUGUGAUGAAUUUGACAGAGUUUUGGCACUUGUAAGAAUAUUGUAGAGUCUUGUUUUGUCUUCAACUCUUUAAUCUUUUAUGUAGAGGUUGAAAAAAGACGUUGAAGAGUGGUAGCACAUCAAAGAGUCAUUUGAGAAGCUUGAUCAUUCAACAUUAAUUUGGUUAAUGUCCUAUGAAGGAAUAUAUUUGAAUCCUUUCCUUGAUAAGGAAUUAACCGUUUUUCCAAUGGAGACACAAAUGUAGCUUCGUACAAUGCACAUGGAAAUGUUGGAGGUGGUGGAGUAGUGGUCGUACAUUGUUGUCCUUCUUUGUACCUUCACGUAAAAUGGAAUCCAUUGACCUUCUGAUAUCUUCAGAACCAUUGUGCUUGAUCUUCAAAGUAAUUCAGACUUGAUAUCCAAAGCUUCUACUUCUUUGUCCUUUAGCUUGUCCAGAUCCUUGAAGAAUAAACCGUAGGAUAAAAGUAGGCACUUAUAAAAGUAGGAAGUUUCAGGUUUGAAUUCCUUCCUUCAUUACUCUUUUCAUUGGCACUUAUCAACACUUCAUUGUUAUUGUUGUUAUUUUUUUGUUGUUGUAGUUAUUAUUACUAUAGUAGUAUAGCAUCAUAGGCAAGAUUGAAAGCCAAUUGGAAGAAAAUGGACACGAGCUAUAAUAUGUAGUAUCAUGAAGCAGUAAAUAAUGUGGUUUUGGUGUACAAAUAAUAAACUAAUUGGAUUUCAUCCCAUACAACACAAAUCCAAAUGAGAGGGGAAGGAAAAUGAGAUUCGUGGAUGGAAUGGAACCCAUCAUAUACCACUCAAUGGAAUCACAUUUCACACCACUUUAUUCCACUCUUAUAUCCUAAGUAUUUAUUUUUGUUAUAUUUGGACUCAAAUGAUUCAUUAAAUUCACCCGAA
rnacentral:lncRNA from 1 species